UUCUCAAGAAAAUAACUCAAAGUAUAAAUCUCAUUGAUAGUGAGAUAAUAUGUAAAGGAUAAUACAUAACAUUAAUAAAUUGCUUUGCUGAUGAUUCACCCUACAUUUUGCAAAUUCCUGGAUGUAUUUACCACAGUGUGGUGAAACCGUGGUGUCAUAAAGCUUUGAUUAGCCAGAACGUAAUUAGAACCUUUAAUUUAAAAGAAUUUCUUCUGAUACAUUUUUCAGUUACCAAUCUAUUUCUUCUCAGCUCACAUUCCCCCUUCACUGCCCUGCUUUGUGACGUUGGAGGUGAGUCCUAUAAACAGUUCUCCUUUGCAGCUGGCAUGAUGAUUGGUUGGUAAAGAGCACUGCAGGGCCAUUGCUUCUCUUCUUUAUUCUGAUGUGGUUUUCCUUCCCCUGCAGUGCAUGACAGCUAGUGAGUGCCAGAGUCCCAGCCACAGUGAACCACCUAGCAAGUCUCACAGGUACCCCAGAAGACGCUGCUUCACCUUGAACUGAAUGACAUAAAACAGGCGUCUACAGGGCCACUGACACGAAACUGCUGAGUCCCCAUCUGCAGAGAAACAGCUAAAUAAUCAUUUUGAGUCAGUUGCUGCAGUGAAACAUGAAACAUGAUCAUUGAAGAAGCCUGCAAUUUAGCAGAAAAUAAGGUACACCAGAAUCUUCUGCUCCAGCUGUACAUUGAGGAUCCUAGUCUCUUUGAAAAUGGCCUUACGGUUUAGUUGCUAUAAUUCUUCCCUUAAACAAGUUUGCAAAGUUGUUCUUUAAGGAAUUAUACUUGCCCAAAACUCCAGGGAGCUCACAAUAGUCUUAAGAUGAAACACUGCCUAACCACAAUUUGUGGGAAAUGACAUGAGCUUGUUAUAUGAAUUUUCUGGUAAACCCUUCAAUCUUUGUAUCUUGUUACAUGAUUUGGAAUUUUAAGUUGCUUCAUUUUUGGAAACUGCUGUUAUUGAGAGGCGGGUGUGUACUGCCAGUUGUUUUGCCGGAUGAUAUUGUGUUGUUGUUGUUGUCAUUUGUUUCUUUCUCUGGAGGGCAAGUGCCC